GUGGGGAAUCUUCCGCAAUGGACGAAAGUCUGACGGAGCAACGCCGCGUGAGUGAAGAAGGUUUUCGGAUCGUAAAGCUCUGUUGUUUGAGACGAAUGUGUAUAUUAUUAAUACGGAUAUACAAUGACGGUAUUAAACGAGAAAGCCACGGCUAACUACGUGCCAGCAGCCGCGGUAAUACGUAGGUGGCAAGCGUUGUCCGGAAUUAUUGGGCGUAAAGGGAGCGCAGGUGGGAAAGUAAGUCGAUUUUAAAAGUGCGGGGCUCAACCCCGUGAGGGAAUCGAAACUGCUUUUCUUGAGUGCAGGAGAGGAAAGUGGAAUUCCUAGUGUAGCGGUGAAAUGCGUAGAUAUUAGGAGGAACACCAGUGGCGAAGGCGACUUUCUGGACUGUAACUGACACUGAGGCUCGAAAGCCAGGGGAGCGAACGGGAUUAGAUACCCCAGUAGUCC
rnacentral:rRNA from 1 species